UCCCUCGUGGCUCAGAGGGUAAAGCAUCUGCCUGCAAUGCGGGAGACCCAGGUUCAAUCCCUGGGUUGGGAA
rnacentral:tRNA from 1 species